rnacentral:rRNA from 1 species
GACGAACGCUGGCGGCGUGCCUAAUACAUGCAAGUCGAACGCAGUGGGGACGGGUGAGUAACACGUGGGUAACCUCCCAUCAGAGGGGAUAACACUUGGAAACAGGUGCUAAACCGAUACUGAUGGAUGGACCCGCGGGGCAUUAGCUAGUGGGUGAGGUAACGGCUCACCAAGGCCACGAUGCAUAGCCGACCUGAGAGGGUGACCGGCCACACUGGAACUGAGACACGGUCCAGACUCCUACGGGAGGCAGCAGUAGGGAAUCUUCGGCAAUGGACGCAAGCCUGACCCAGCAACGCCGCGUGAGUGAAGAAGGUUUUCGGGUCGUAAAGCUCUGUUGGCAGGGAGGCGUUACCUAACCAGGAAGCCACGGCUAACUACGUGCCAGCAGCCGCGGUAAUAC